ensembl:lincRNA 1700008K24Rik RIKEN cDNA 1700008K24 gene
GAAGUAAGGGACCAUUGUGAAGAUGGAAGAAUGCCCACAAAAUCCAGCUUGAAACCUGCUGGCUCUGAGGGUCCUGCUGGCUCAGCAGUGCUGGUAACCAAGAAGUAUCGCAGGCCCAGGAAAGUUACCCUUCUAUUUGCGGAGAGCUAUUGCCUAUCGGCCUGGACCAGCAGAUAACUCAGCACUCAUGAUCAGCUGUCAAGCUAUAACGGAGUGUUGAGGCAGUCCCUGAAACCACAGCGCCAUUUUGUAGGAACUAAGAAGCCAACCUCAAGGAAUCACUCGCCCCAAGAAGACUUUGUUCUGAUCUGAUGUGUUUCUAGCCUGGUGGAGCCUCAGCUAUCCAAAGGAAGAGCUGUUAAGAUGAUUGGAAUUUUGGUUUUUCCGAUUCACUCUUUUUUCUCUCCAGCCAUCUGCCUUAGACAGCAGGAGAAAAGGAAACUUAGCCUCAGAGGUGGGGUCCUUCGGAAGGACUGACAGUGGGCUAGCUCUCCUGCUGCUGGGAGCCUGAGUGCCUUUGGCUCCUUGUCCAGACCUCAGCUUUACCACGGAGGUUACCUGCUUACCAUCAGCAUCGAAACUUGCCUCUUCCCCUGGGUGUAUUCUCCCUCUUUUGUGCACAGUUUGAUUCCUCCAAACUGCUCUCCCUGUGAAGAAAGCCGAUGGAAUUCAGGGAGCCUGGCCAGCCACCCAGGCCUUUAUAAAGGUCCUCGUACCACAGGAUGUAUGGGAGACCCAAUAAAGACUUUUGCAAAAUG